AGCUUUAAGUUUUAUUUAAAGUGAGACCUGCCCAGUGCUAAUUAGUAAACGGCCGCAGUACCUUGACUGUGCUAAGGUAGCAUAAUCAGUUGGCUUUUAAAUGGAGUCGGGAAUGAAUGGAUUAAUAGGGUUAAGCUGUCUCUACUAUAUUAAAUUGAACUUACUUAUUAGGUGAAAAUGCCUAAGUUGUAAAAGAAAAAAGACGAGAAGACCCUAGGAGUUUUAACUAGAUGCUAUUUAUUAUAGUUAAUGUUUUUGUUGGGGCGACGUUGGAACAAUUUUAUUUAACUUCCUUUAUGUUUAUAGGCCGACUUUGUAUGUAAAUCUAAACUACCCUAGGGAUAACAGCGUAAUUCUUUUUGAGCUUGCGACCUCGAUGUUGGACUAGGAAUUUGGUGGGCUAGCCGCCUAUUUAUAUUGUUCUGUUCGAACUGUUUUUCCUACAU
rnacentral:rRNA from 1 species